rnacentral:rRNA from 1 species
AGAAUCAACGCUGGCGGCGUGCCUAACACAUGCAAGUCGAACGAGAAAGGGGAGCAAUCCCUGAGUAAAGUGGCGACCGGGUGAGUAACACGUGACUAACCUACCUUCGAGUGGGGGAUAACUCCGGGAAACCGGGGCUAAUACCGCAUAACAUCCUUGGAUCGGAAGAACUGGGGAUCAAAGGAGCAAUUCGCUUGAAGAGGGAGUCGCGGCUGAUUAGCUUGUUGGCGGGUAAUGGCCCACAAGGCGAUGAUCGGUAUCCGGCCUGAGAGGGGCGCGACGGACGACGACCUGGAACUGAAACACGGUCCAGACUCCUACGGGAGGCAGCAGUGGGGAAUUUUGCGCAAUGGGGGAAACCCUGACGCAGCAACGCCGCGUGGAGGAUGAAGUCCCUUGGGACGUAAACUCCUUUCGACCGGGACGAUAAUGACGGUACCGGUGGAAGAAGCCCCGGCUAACUUCGUGCCAGCAGCCGC